rnacentral:rRNA from 1 species
GAUGAACGCUGGCGGCGUGCCUAAUACAUGCAAGUCGAGCGAACAGACGAGGAGCUUGCUCCUCUGACGUUAGCGGCGGACGGGUGAGUAACACGUGGAUAACCUACCUAUAAGACUGGGAUAACUUCGGGAAACCGGAGCUAAUACCGGAUAAUAUAUUGAACCGCAUGGUUCAAUAGUGAAAGACGGUUUUGCUGUCACUUAUAGAUGGAUCCGCGCCGCAUUAGCUAGUUGGUAAGGUAACGGCUUACCAAGGCGACGAUGCGUAGCCGACCUGAGAGGGUGAUCGGCCACACUGGAACUGAGACACGGUCCAGACUCCUACGGGAGGCAGCAGUAGGGAAUCUUCCGCAAUGGGCGAAAGCCUGACGGAGCAACGCCGCGUGAGUGAUGAAGGUCUUCAGAUCGUAAAACUCUGUUAUUAGGGAAGAACAAAUGUGUAAGUAACUAUGCACGUCUUGACGGUACCUAAUCAGAAAGCCACGGCUAACUACGU